rnacentral:tRNA from 1 species
CAGGGUACAGCUCAGUGGUAGAGUGCGUGAUUAGUGCGCACAAGGUCCUGGGUUCAAUCCCCAGUACUCCAU